rnacentral:rRNA from 1 species
GACGAACGCUGGCGGCGUGCUUAACACAUGCAAGUCGAACGGAAAGGCCCUGCUUUUGUGGGGUGCUCGAGUGGCGAACGGGUGAGUAACAUGUGAGUAACCUGCCCUUGACUUUGGGAUAACUUCAGGAAACUGGGGCUAAUACCGGAUAGGAGCUCCUGCUGCAUGGUGGGGGUUGGAAAGUUUCGGCGGUUGGGGAUGGACUCGCGGCUUAUCAGCUUGUUGGUGGGGUAGUGGCUUACCAAGGCUUUGACGGGUAGUCGGCCUGAGAGGGUGACCGGCGACAUUGGGACUAAGGUACGGCCCAGACUCCUACGGGGGGCAGCAGUGGAGAAUAUUGCACAAUGGGGGGGAGCCUGAUGCAGCAACGCCGCGUGCGGGAUGACGUCCUUCGGGUUGUAAACCGCAGUCGCCUGUGGCGAAGCGUGAGUGACGGUAAUGGGUGAAGAAGCACCGGCUAACUACGUG